rnacentral:lncRNA from 1 species
CCAGCAAUAAAUACUCAGGUGACUCUAAUGGAAGCCAAAGCAAUGCCAUAUGACAAAGGCAUUGGAUGUUCAUUCAUUUUCCAAGAAAGGGGUAAAAGGACAGCCUACGUUGUCCAGUGGAGGCAGCCUUCCCAUUCCAACGGACAUUUGUGGGAUAUUAGAGACCAAGAAGUGUUAAGAGAUGAUCUUCACAAAAUGCUGAGCUUGUGUGGGUGUCGAACUACAAACAGGAGGAGAUGGAUAUUCACAUGCAGUGGUGGAGGGUUAUGGCUCUCCAGCCUGGAGGAUUGGAGCUUGAGCCAGGUGAACAGUGGGUCCAUUAAAGGGGCAGCUCAGUUCAGCAAGUCAGAGCCUGAACAGGAUGAAAGGGGCAACCCACAAAGAUGAGGACUGAAUUGGAGUUACAGAUCCCAGUUGGUUGGAGAGACCAUUUUCCUGGAGGAUGACCCAGUUUGGGAGUCACAGCCAGAGCUGG